CCUACGGGGGGCUGCAGUAAGGAAUAUUGGUCAAUGGACGAAAGUCUGAACCAGCCAUCCCGCGUGCAGGAUGAAAGCCCUAUGGGUUGUAAACUGCUUUUAGCAGAGAAGAAAAGCUUUCAUUAAUGAGAGUCUGACGGUAUCUGCAGAAUAAGCACCGGCUAACUCCGUGCCAGCAGCCGCGGUAAUACGGAGGGUGCGAGCGUUAUCCGGAAUUACUGGGUUUAAAGGGGAGGUAGGCGGCGUUGGAGAAAUCUUGACGCUGAACGAUAACAUUGCCAAUGAUACUGGGACUCUUGAAUUGGGUUGAGGUUAGCGGAAUGUGACAUGUAGCGGUGAAAUGCAUAGAUAUGUCAUGGAACACCAAUUGCGAAGGCAGCUAACUGGGCCUUGAUUGACGCUGAGGCACGAAAGCGUGGGGAGCGAACAGGAUUAGAUACCCGGGUAGUC
rnacentral:rRNA from 1 species